AGGUCUGAUAUCGCUUCUGCUGCUGGCUGGGAUUCUAGGGGCUGCUUCCAAGUUGGAGAUUAUAUCACUUACUAUUAUGCGAAGGAGAAAUCCAGUGAACAAUCAGCAAAAAAGGCUGCUUGUAAGGCAAAAAAAUCAAAGCUGGCUGAGCAGUCAGGGAUCGUGAUUGCCAAUUGAUGGAAGGCUUUGCUGAAUAGCUGCUGAAUGCUUAGAAGACUGGAGAAAAGAAAAACUGCUGAAUUGCUUCUUCCAAUUUGGACUUUCUAUUUCAAUUGCAACUUUGUAUUU